rnacentral:rRNA from 1 species
AAUAUUCGACAAUGGGCGAAAGCCUGAUCCAGCCAUGCCGCGUGUGUGAAGAAGGNCUNNGGAUUNUNAAGCACUUUCAGUUGNNNNNAGGGGUUGUAGGUUAAUACCCUGCAAUGUUGACGUUACCAACAGAAUAAGCACCGGCUAACUUCGUGCCAUCAGCCGCGGUAAUACGAAGGGUGCAAGCGUUAAUCGGGAGUACUGGGGGUAAAGCGAGCGUAGGUGGUUCGUUAAGUUGGAAGUGAAAGCCCCGGGCUUAACCUGGGAAUUGCUUUCAAAACUGACGAGCUAGAGUACGGUAGAGGGUAGUGGAAUUUCCUGUGUAGCGGUGAAAUGCGUAGAUACAGGAAGGAACAUCAGUGGCGAAGGCGACUACCUGGACUGAUACUGACACUGAGGUGCGAAAGCGUGGGGAGCAAACAGG